GGUGGCUCAAUGGUAGAGCUCUUGCCUUGCAUGCAUGAAGCCCUGAGUUCGAUUCCUCAGCACCA
rnacentral:tRNA from 1 species